AAUAUCAUAAAGUGCUUCUUGUGUUUCUUGAACAUUCAUUCAUUUCCUGCCUUGAUUUUUCUCCUCUCUCUUUCUAGAUUUGAAAAUACUUUCUUCCACAUUCGGGUUUCAUCUUGCAGAAAAUUAUAGAAUUUGAUUUUUGAGUAACUUUUUGCACAAUUUGAGAGUUAGAAACUGUAGCAAUUUUCAUUUUGCCUCUUCUCACGUAGUGGGCACCGUUAGAUUUUGUUGUUUUCUUCAAAUUUCUAUCAAAUCUAUGUCUAAUCUUUCACUUUCAUCAACUAUUCCCCAUCGACAAAUGUAAUCUUCAAAUGCGUGUUUUUUCACUGAAAAUUUUAGAGAUUUAUAAUCAGUCAGAAUGAUGAUUUAUGGACCAUUAGCACCUGGUUCGGAGUCAUUUUUUCUUGGGAUAGUUGCAUGGCUGGGAUAUACUAAGACUAUCUGGAGUACAGGGAAAAUUCUUCAUUGAAACCAUGAAUCAAAAAGCUAUCUAGAUCUUUGAUUAAAUUUGAAUCUAAAUUGCUAAAGUAAUUAAGACAAUGUGUGAAACAUUGUGUGUGAAGAUGUUUUUAAGUGAUGUAUUAUGUUUGCUUGUA